CUCCUACGGGAGGCAGCAGUGGGGAAUAUUGGCCAAUGGGGGCAACCCUGAUCCAACCAUCCCGCGUGUGUGAAGAAGGCUUUCGGGUUGUAAAGCACUUUCAGUGAGGAGGAAAACUCUGCGACUAAUACUCGUAGGGCUUGACGUUACUCACAGAAGAAGCAGCGGCUAACUCCGUGCCAGCAGCCGCGGUAAUACGGAGGGUGCAAGCGUUAAUCGGAAUUACUGGGAGUAAAGCGCGCGUAGGUGGUUUGAUAAGCGAGAUGUGAAAGCCCCGGGCUUAACCUGGGAACGGCAUUUCGAACUGUCAGGCUAGAGUAUGGUAGAGGGUACGUGGAAUUUCCUGUGUAGCGGUGAAAUGCGUAGAUAUAGGAAGGAACACCAGUGGCGAAGGCGGCUACCUGGACCAAUACUGACACU
rnacentral:rRNA from 1 species